rnacentral:lncRNA from 1 species
ACAAAAGCACAAGUUAUGGGAAAGACAAACGGAACAAAGAGAAAACAACUGCAAAUGUAAUUGUAUGGGAGAGAGACUGGAUAAAGAAGUUUAAGAGAGGUUCAAGGAAGCGAGCUGCUCGGCUGCACCACCAGCAGCGACGCUCCUGAGUACAUCCAUAGCCUCUGCAACUUUGUCCUUGAGAGCUUCUGGCGACUCCAAGAGAUGGAGCACUUCCGUCUGGUCCAUCUCCAAAAGCAUCCCAGUCACUUUGGCUGCAGACUCUGCUUCAAGCUGCUCCACCAACGGGUACAGAUUCUCACCCAGC